UGAUUAGUGAGAUCUAUUUGGUGGGGUCCU
rnacentral:piRNA from 1 species